rnacentral:rRNA from 1 species
CUACGGGUUGCACCAGUGGGGAAUAUUGCACAAUGGGCGCAAGCCUGAUGCAGCCAUGCCGCGUGUAUGAAGAAGGCCUUCGGGUUGUAAAGUACUUUCAGCGGGGAGGAAGGGAGUAAAGUUAAUACCUUUGCUCAUUGACGUUACCCGCAGAAGAAGCACCGGCUAACUCCGUGCCAGCAGCCGCGGUAAUACGGAGGGUGCAAGCGUUAAUCGGAAUGACUGGGCGUAAAGCGCACGCAGGCGGUUUGUUAAGUCAGAUGUGAAGUCCCCGGGCUCAACCUGGGAACUGCAUCUGAUACUGGCAAGCUGGUGUCGCGUAGAGGGGGGUAGAAUUCCAGGUGUAGCGGUGAAAUGCGUAGAGAUCUGGAGGAAUACCGGUGGCGAAGGCGGCCCCCUGGACGAAGACUGACGCUCAGGUGCGAAAGCGUGGGGAGCAAACAGGAUUAGAUACCCGCGUAGUC